UUUAUGUGUCAUUACAGGACAAAGGACAUUAACGAUAUACUUGCUCUUUAAAUUCUUUCUAUGUUUUCUUUAGUGGAAAGUUUGUCUUCGCUUUGAAUUAUUUGCGUUAUUUGCUUCCAUCAUCAAAAGUCUGACUCUCGACCAACUUUAACCAUGUCACAGUAGCCACUGUUAAUAAUUUGAUUUACUUUCCAAAGCCAAUUUUUACUAGUGACUACUAGUUUUAGUGCCUGAAUGUAACAUGACAACGUUCAUAUGAAAUAUAUCAAAACCACUAUGGCUAAAAAGAUAUCUAUUUCUUCAGAUCCAGAAAAGAAUUACAUUUGGAAAUGCUUUUGUUUUUGCCUUGAAUAAACAUGACUUAUCUGCCUUGAAGUGCAAUAGAGUUUAAGCUGUAUGGUGAGAGAUUACCACAUGUCCUCUUCUCUCUCCCAGAGGACACUGGGUAAUCGCCGCCGCUGUCUGUCUGACAUGGCCGGGGGUAGAGGGACGUGGAGCAGGAGGAAAACGUGAGUAGCGGCGCUGAACUCUUCCCGUCCUGUGUUUUAAAGCAGCUUAAGUGCUCCUCCAUGCCGCUGAUUUCCUUGUAGGCCUUAAGAAGUGAUCACCUUCCUGCAAUGCCCUCAGGAUUAAACAGGCCAGGCCCGUCCUCCUCCCGUGCCUCGCCCCUACCUUUGUAGUCAAUAAAAGACUAACUAGAAAAGAAUGAGGAGAUGGGAGAAUCAAUCUACUGGAAGCCUCCCCACAGUUUUCUCAUCACUUCUUGUGUCGUGUGUCAUCUCUGUCCAUAACGGGGAAAAAGAACAGACUCAGUAUGUGGGAUGAAGGGUUUUUUCUUUCGUCUCCUAGUAUGGACUGAGAAAAUAGAGUCAGGAAAAAGAGUGAUUUUGAUGGAAUGAGUGAGGGAGAUAAGUUGUGUUUUAUGUUGUGUUCAGAUUCACAGCAGGGAUGAGUACUACACGAGCUUGCGUGUUUUCCCAGAGCGUCCGGAGAACUGCUAAAGACAGCGGACGUCGUGCUUGUUUAAGCUUCAGUGUGGGAAGCAGAGGCGAUUCUGGGAUUUCAGGCCAGAAACACUUUACGCAAUAUACUAGGCCAACAGUUUCCAAGUGUGUGAUACUAGAGAGCAUACUGUACUUCUUAAAGUGCCAUUAUUAUGCUAAUUUAAAGGCUCCUAAUUUUGUUUUGCAGGUCUCCUAUGAUACGUUAACAUGUAUUGAAGGUUAAAAAAACAUUAAUUUUCUCAUAAUUUACAUUGCAUCAUCGCCUCUGUCUGAAACUGUUCAAUAAAGGACUCGGUCUCCACCUUUCUGA